AUACGGAGGGUGCAAGCGUUAUUCGGAAUCACUGGGCGUAAAGGACGCGUAGGCGGGUUGGCAAGUCAGAUGUGAAAUCCUACAGCUUAACUGUAGAACUGCAUUUGAAACUGCUAACCUAGAGUAUGGGAGGGGGAGAUGGAAUUAGUGGUGUAGGGGUAAAAUCCGUAGAUAUCACUAGGAAUACCGAAAGCGAAGGCGAUCUCCUGGAACAUAACUGACGCUAAGGCGUGAAAGCGUGGGGAGCAAACAGGAGUAGAAACCCUUGUAGUCC
rnacentral:rRNA from 1 species